rnacentral:rRNA from 1 species
GUGAGGAAUAUUGCGCAAUGGAGGCAACUCUGACGCAGCCAUGCCGCGUGCAGGAAGAAGGCGCUACGCGUUGUAAACUGCUUUUAACCGGGAAGAAACCCCAGGACGUGUCCUGGGUUGACGGUACCGGAGGAAUAAGCACCGGCUAACUUCGUGCCAGCAGCUGCGGUAAUACGAAGGGUGCAAGCGUUAUCCGGAUUCAUUGGGUCUAAAGGGUGCGUAGGCGGAGCGUUAAGUCAGUGGUGAAAUCCUGCAGCUUAACUGUAGACUUGCCAUUGAUACUGGCGCUCUUGAGUGCGCUUGAAGUGGGCGGAAUGUGCCGUGUAGCGGUGAAAUGCUUAGAUAUGGCACAGAACACCAAUUGCGAAGGCAGCUCACUAAGGCGAUACUGACGCUGAGGCACGAAAGCGUGGGGAUCGAACAGGAUUAGAAACCCUGGUAGUCC